AAAAUCCAGUGACCUGAAACUUUUCCGGCACUAUUACAUGGUCAUGCUGAACCGAUAUCGACAUUGAAGAAGGUGAAACAUCAAAAACGGUGUUUUCACCCUUGUAGAAAGGUAUAAGCUUGUAAACCCCACAAGGAAUGGAUUUCAACGAGAAGAUUCCAUUAGCAUCUGUCACAUUGUGGCAAAGUGCUUCUCCCAAUCCUAGAUCACCAGGUGAAUUUUUGGAGCCCUUAGGGCAAUCAACCUUUGUGACAUCAUCUGAGUAUAAAUAGAUAUGAACUCCCAGUAUGGGAUUUCCCUGAGCAACCACAGAUCCACGAAUAUCAUAACCAGAUACAAAGAAGAAGUCCUCCAAUAUUCUAUUUUCGAAACCCAAAUCAAUCUCGGCCGAUCCUCUAACUUGAACAUUCAAGUCAUGACGUGAUGCACGUAAUUUGUACUUCCCGGGUAUAGCGUUUGAGAAGGAGUAUGUUCCUCUGGGUGUUGAUAAUGCAGAGGACACAACACCACCUGUGGGAGACAAUAACUCAACUUUCACAUUUGAUGGACCUCCAUCUUUCAGAGCACAGCUUUCCCCACCAUCAUUUCCCACAAUUCGUCCAGAUACAGUGAACCCGGUGAAGCGAAAAUUUAUAUCUUCAUUGCCAUUGCAGCCAGUAUGAUCAAUUGAAACAGGUACUUGUUCAGGAUCCCAUGACCACCCCUCUGGUCCAUUGACUUUGAUCAAGAAAGAACCCUUAUCAUACACUGGAAUGAAGUAAUAACCAUUAGGGGCACAGUGUGUUCUUUCCUUCACCAAGCCAUCCAAUGUGCGAAGCUCAACAAUGAUAUUAGAAUAAUCCAAUUUCGGAUCGCUUGACUUCCUUGACUUGAUCAGUUCCGAACUUGCCUCAACAAACCCCCCACAUCCUUGAAUUGAAUCAGCAGCGGCAGUGGCGGAAACGUAGAGAAUAAUUGAUAUGAUUGUGCAUACAUAGAAGUAGCUGGAUGCCAUUGCCGGCAAGAGAGAGUAUUGACGUCCCUUAGUGAUUAGCACAAACAGAUCUCGCGCUGCUCAGUUGAGCUUCAGGGGUUGGUUCUCUCUGCUGUGAUGCGCAAGGGUUUUGACUAUUGUACAU
rnacentral:misc_RNA from 1 species